UAAUUUCUCUCUCAUCGCUCACGGCCACAAACCACUGCCACUUCACCUCCCAAUAGGCUUCAUAUCCUACCGACCCAAAUCACUAACCACCACCACCACCACCGCCACCGCCAUGAAAGACGGCGGCUCCACCGUGUCAGAGAAGAUCAGGGACGAACUGAGCUUCUACGAGCCUCUCGGUAUCCCUGAAACGGAAUAAUAAUCACAUCACGUCUACUUCAAUCUCUGUUUGAUUCUUUAUUUCUGAUUCUAUAUACAGAGCGAUUCAUCUGGAAUGGUGGUUUUGGGGGUGAAAGAUGUUGGGGUUCAAGAGGAUGAAAAAUAUGUGAAAAUUGGUAUGGAGAUUGAUGGGUUUGUUAAUGUUUUGUUCAAGUUUUUGGGGGUGAAAGAUGGUGGGGUUCAAGAAGAGGCGUUGAAAGCGGUUGCGGUUAUUUGUGGAUUCGAGUGUUACAAGAAUGUUUUAGUGGGAAUGGGGGGUUGUGGUGUUGUGGGUUAGGGGUUUGGAGAGUGGUAGUGAGUUGGGGAAAGAGUUGUCCGCCAGGUGUUUGAUGAAAUGCACGGCGGGUUGUGAUAACGUUUUGGCGGUUUCCGCGUGUGGUGGGGUGAUGGUGGUGGUGGGGAGUUGGUUGGUUUGGCGUGAGGGGUGUUAAAAAAUAUUGUUGGUGUUGAUGAGAUACGGCGGUUUGUGGUCGAUGAAGGCGCGGUUGAGUUGUGUGUUAAGCUUGUUAGAUCGAAAAACGAGUGUUCGCAGAUAAGUGCGAUGGAGUUUCUUUAGGUUUUGUCAUCUGGGAACGAGUUUGUAAAGGGUUUGAUUGAUAACGAAGGCGGGAUUCGUGUGCUUGUGCGCGUGGUUGAUCCUAAGUCGUGGUAUUCGUCUAAAGCGCGAGAGAAGUCAAUGCGUGCACUAAUGGUUUUGUGUUCGGAUUCAGUUGGGUACAUGAACAGUUUGAAAAACUAUGGGUUUAUGGAUCAUAUAUUGUACUUGCUUCACAAUGGUGAGGUUUCGGUUCAAGAAUCGGCGUUAAUGGCUGCAUCUUGGCUUUCCGCAACUUCAGAUGAGUCCAAGAAAGCGAUGGGUGAUGCGGGGUAUAUCGCGGAACUUGAUAGGUUUCUUGAUGCGAAGUCAUUUGAGGCUCGAGAGAUUGCAGCAGAGACGCUUCAGCGGCUGUUGAUAGUUCCCAGGAGUCAAAAACGAUUCGUGCAGACCGAUCAGAAUGUGAAUCUGCUUCUGCAAAUGAUCGAUCCAGAAGAAGGUAAUUCGGGUAAUAGAAAAGUUUUACUUUCGAUAAUCAUGUCAUUAACUUUUUAUCAUGAAGGUGGGAAAAAAAUAUUAAGCUCUGGGUACAUGAAAACCAUAGAAAAACUUGCUGAGGAUCAAGUUUUGGAUGCCAAAAAGAUCAUAAGAAACCUCUCUUCGAGUCGAAUUCAAAGCAUAAUUAGGGGAAUUUCGCAUUCUUGAAGUGUUGUUCCAGCAUCUAGUAUUCCAGAUGGAUGGAUGGGAUUUGGAUAUCGGACCAUGGGUGUGUUCGAGUUUGACAAAUUUGCAACCAGGGCGUAAAAAAGAUCUCAGACGACAGAGUUGCAAACUACCAUAUACAAGAAACAAAAAACGACGUCUUCGCUUUAUUUAUUUAUUUAUUUAUUUAUUUAUUUAUUUAUUUAUUUAUUUAUUUUUACAUUUUUUGGUGAUUUGCUGUAAUGUAAAUAUUCACUGCAAGUUUCCAAAAUUUUUUACUGUU